GUGUCAGCAGCCGCGGUAAUACGGAGGAUGCAAGCGUUAUCCGGAAUUAUUGGGCGUAAAGCGUCCGCAGGUGGUUAUUCAAGUCUGCUGUUAAAGCGCAGAGCUUAACUCUGUAAAGGCGGUGGAAACUGAGUAACUAGAGUACGGUAGGGGUCGCGGGAAUUCCCGGUGUAGCGGUGAAAUGCGUAGAUAUCGGGAAGAACACCAGCGGCGAAAGCGCGCGACUGGGCCGUAACUGACACUCAUGGACGAAAGCUAGGGGAGCGAAAGGGAUUAGAUACCCCCGUAGUCC
rnacentral:rRNA from 1 species